GAUGAACGCUGGCGGCGUGCCUAAUACAUGCAAGUCGAGCGAACAGACGAGGAGCUUGCUCCUCUGACGUUAGCGGCGGACGGGUGAGUAACACGUGGAUAACCUACCUAUAAGACUGGGAUAACUUCGGGAAACCGGAGCUAAUACCGGAUAAUAUAUUGAACCGCAUGGUUCAAUAGUGAAAGACGGUUUUGCUGUCACUUAUAGAUGGAUCCGCGCCGCAUUAGCUAGUUGGUAAGGUAAAGGCUUACCAAGGCAACGAUGCGUAGCCGACCUGAGAGGGAGAUCGCCCACACUGUAAGUGAGGCACGGCCCAGACUCCGACGGGAGGACGCAGUCGGGAAUCUUCCGCAAUGGGGGAGAGCCUGAUGGAGCACAGCCGCCGGAGUGAUGAAGGUCUUCGGAUCCUAAAACGCUGUAAUUAGGAAAGAACAAAUGUGUAAGUACCUAUGCACGUCUUGACGGUACCUAAUCAGAAAGCCCCGGCUAACUCCGUG
rnacentral:rRNA from 1 species